rnacentral:rRNA from 1 species
GAUUCUGGCUCAGGAUGAACGCUAGCUACAGGCUUAACACAUGCAAGUCGAGGGGCAGCAUGAGAUCAGCUUGCUGAUCUUGAUGGCGACCGGCGCACGGGUGAGUAACGCGUAUCCAACCUUCCCCCUACUCAGGCAUAGCCCGGUGAAAACCGGAUUAACUCCUGAUAGUUUCACUAGAUGGCAUCUGACGGUGAAUAAAGCUCCGCGGUAAGGGAUGGGGGAUGCGUCUGAUUAGCUUGUUGGCGGGUAACGGCCCACCAAGGCGACGAUCAGUAGGGGUUCUGAGAGGAAGGUCCCCCACAUUGGAACUGAGACACGGUCCAAACUCCUACGGGAGGCAGCAGUGAGGAAUAUUGGUCAAUGGGCGCGAGCCUGAACCAGCCAAGUAGCGUGCAGGAAGACGGCCCUAUGGGUUGUAAACUGCUUUUGUGCGGGAAUAAAGUCAGGGACGUGUCCCUGUUUGCAUGUACCGCAAGAAUAAGGACCGGCUAAUUCCGUGCCAGCCGCAGC